AGAGUUUGAUCCUGGCUCAGGAUGAACGCUGGCGGCGUGCUUAACACAUGCAAGUCGAACGGGAAAUAUUUCAUUGAGACUUCGGUGGAUUUGAUCUAUUUCUAGUGGCGGACGGGUGAGUAACGCGUGGGUAACCUGCCUUAUACAGGGGGAUAACAGUCAGAAAUGGCUGCUAAUACCGCAUAAGCGCACAGAGCUGCAUGGCUCAGUGUGAAAAACUCCGGUGGUAUAAGAUGGACCCGCGUUGGAUUAGCUUGUUGGUGGGGUAACGGCCCACCAAGGCGACGAUCCAUAGCCGGCCUGAGAGGGUGAACGGCCACAUUGGGACUGAGACACGGCCCAGACUCCUACGGGAGGCAGCAGUGGGGAAUAUUGCACAAUGGGGGAAACCCUGAUGCAGCGACGCCGCGUGAAGGAAGAAGUAUCUCGGUAUGUAAACUUCUAUCAGCAGGGAAGAUAGUGACGGUACCUGACUAAGAAGCCCCGGCUACUACGUGCCAGCAGCCGCGGU
rnacentral:rRNA from 1 species